GAUGAACGCUAGCGGCAGGCUUAAUACAUGCAAGUCGAGGGGCAGCAGGUCUGUAGCAAUACAGAUGCUGGCGACCGGCGAACGGGUGCGUAACACGUACGCAACCUUCCCGUUACUGGGGAAUAGCCCAGGGAAACUUGGAUUAAUACCCCAUAUUAUAUUGGUUGGGCAUCCGACUGAUAUCAAAGUUUUAACGGUAACGGAUGGGCGUGCGGUUGAUUAGGUAGUUGGCGGGGUAACGGCCCACCAAGCCUACGAUCAAUAGCUGAUGUGAGAGCAUGAUCAGCCACACGGGCACUGAGACACGGGCCCGACUCCUACGGGAGGCAGCAGUAAGGAAUAUUGGGCAAUGGACGCAAGUCUGACCCAGCCAUGCCGCGUGAAGGAUGAAGGUCCUCUGGAUUGUAAACUUCUUUUAUCUGGGGCGAAAAUCGGGUAUUCUUAUCCGCUUGACAGUACCAGAGGAAUAAGCACCGGCUAACUCCGUGCCAGCAGCCGCGGUAACAC
rnacentral:rRNA from 1 species